rnacentral:rRNA from 1 species
GAUGAACGCUGGCGGCGUGCCUAACACAUGCAAGUCGAGCGAGAAGUUUGAAAAAUGAGUUUUCGGACAAGUGAUUCAAACGGAAAGCGGCGGACGGGUGAGUAACGCGUAGGCAACCUGCCCCGUGCAGAGGGACAGCCUCGGGAAACCGGGAUUAAGACCUUAUGAUAUCGGGUUAUCACAUGGUAAUCCGGUCAAAGAUUUAUCGGCAUGGGAUGGGCCUGCGUCUGAUUAGCUGGUUGGUGGGGUAACGGCCUACCAAGGCGACGAUCAGUAGCAGAACUGAGAGGUUCAUCUGCCACAUUGGAACUGAGACACGGUCCAAACUCCUACGGGAGGCAGCAGUGAGGAAUAUUGCACAAUGGGCGAAAGCCUGAUGCAGCAACGCCGCGUGAGCGAAGAAGGCCUUUGGGUCGUAAAGCUCUGUCCUUGGGGAAGAAACAAAUGACGGUACCCUUGGAGGAAGCCCCGGCUAACUACGUGCCAGCAGCCGCGGUAACAC